CCCAACAGGCCCCAAACGGACUUGGCAGCAACUGCCAAGUCCGCCAUUUUUAUAUUUCAGCAAAAUGAAAUAUAAAAAUGUAGUUCAAACAGUUACUGAAGAUGGUGUAAUCUGUCUCGUGGAGCCUUCUGCCAUAACACACCUCCAUGCUGUUGAGGAUGAUGAAGACACCUUAUCAGCUGCCAGAGGGAAGAUGCAGAGAGGCCUGUUGAGGGGAAAAACGGUCUGUCUAGUUACU